GCUCCCCUGGCGUAAUGGUAACGCGUUGGACUUCUACCUUCCAUGGGAUCCAAAGAUUGCGGGUUCGAGCCCCGCGGGGAGUG